rnacentral:rRNA from 1 species
GGUAAUCCUAAACCCUGAGAAUUAAGCAUAAUCGGAUGCCGUUUAAUUGGCGGAGUGUUGAAUGGACUCACGAGCGCAACCCUGUCUUAAAUAGAGGUAUAGUGAAUUUGGACUAAUAGUGAAGAUACUAUUAAAAAUAGUAGGACGAAAAGACCCCGUGAAGCUUUACUAUAGACAAGUAUUAAUUAUUUUAAUCUAUUUUAGUUAAUAAAAGAAUUCAGUCACAUAUGUAAUAUAUGUACAUAAAAAUUUAUUUUAUUAGAAACCUUUAUUUAGAAACAAAAUAAAAUUUGAGGUGCUUUGUUAGUUAGUUUUGGUGGGGUGCCAGCGCAUUAAAAAAAACAUGCUUGUUAGCAAUAAUUAAAAUAAAAUAGAUUGAAAUAAUAAACUAAUUUACUCAAAGAUAAAAGUCGGCAAAGUGACCCGUCUACAAAAAAAAUAAUAUAUAGACGACAGAGGAUAAAAGUUACUCCGGGGAUAACAGG